UGCUCACCAGUGAUGUCAGAAAAAUAAAUGUCUGAACAAAUGAUAUCCUGUGAUUUAAUUUAUUAAUCUGAGGAGAGCA